CCUACGGGAGGCAGCAGUGGGGAAUAUUGCUCAAUGGGGGAAACCCUGAAGCAGCAACGCCGCGUGGAGGAUGAAGGUUCUCGGAUUGUAAACUCCUUUUGUUAGAGAAGAUAAUGACGGUAUCUAACGAAUAAGCACCGGCUAACUCCGUGCCAGCAGCCGCGGUAAUACGGAGGGUGCAAGCGUUAUACGGAUUCACUGGGCGUAAAGGGGGCGUAGGCGGGGUUGCAAGACAGAUGUGAAAUCCUAUGGCUUAACCAUAGAACUGCAUUUGAAACUGUGAGUCUGGAGUAUGGGAGAGGUAGGUGGAAUUCUUGGUGUAGGGGUGAAAUGCGUAGAGAUCAGGAGGAAUAC
rnacentral:rRNA from 1 species